AUGUCAUCUUAUCUUCUUUGUGUGGAUAUAAAAAGUUGCUGUCUGUUUAGUGGAGUACAUCAACGAGCAAACAGCAAAGGAUACUGAACACGUGGAAUCAGAGAGCAUCACGGUCUUCUUCAGUCACUGCAGUGAAGACAAGUCAACGCCAGACGAAAUCUCAAAGCACCUUCCCACAAUGAUGAUGAAGAUCUGUAUCAUCCUUCUUCUGUUUGUUGCGUCAGGCAAUGCACAGAUGUCAACCACAGCUGCCCCAGCAGCAACCACAGCUGCCCCAGCAGUAACAACAGCAGCCCCAGCAGCAACCACAGCUGCACCAGGAGCAACCACAGCUGCACCAGCAGCAACCACAGCUGCCCCAGCAGC